rnacentral:rRNA from 1 species
AGUCUGGUGCCAGCAGCCGCGGUAAUUCCAGCUCCAAUAGCAUAUAUUAAAAUUGUUGCAGUUAAAACGUUCGUAGUUGAAUAUUAAAGAAUCCGAUGUUUCAUUUAAACUGGUUUGGGAAAACCAAAUAUAUUAUAUAUUUUGCUUUGUUCAAAAUAAGGUUUUCUAAUAAAUUAUGUUUUUAUCAGAUAUGACAGAAUCUUUUUUAAAAUCUCUUCAAUAUGCUUUUAUUGCUUUUGAGAGGUUUUGUUACUUUGAGUAAAAUUAAGUGUUCAUAACAGACGGGUAGUCAUGAUUGAGUUCAUUGUGUUUGAAUACUACAGCAUGGAAUAACAAAUAUGAAUAAGCUAAUUAUUUUUUUUUUUCAUAAUUUUUUUUGAUAUUCUUAUUAGCUUAGUUACGAUUAAUAGGAGUAGCUUUGGGGGCAUUCGUAUUCAGAUGUCAGAGGUGAAAUUCUAAGAUUUUCUGGAGACGGACUACUGCGAAAGCAUUUGCCUAAUCUAUUUCCAUUAAUCAAGAACGAAAGUUAAGGGAGUGAAGACGAUCAGAUACCGUCGUAAUCUUAACCAUAAACUAUACCGACUAGGUGUUGGAUGAAUAUAAAAAAUAUAUAAAUAUGUAGCAUUUCUUAGGGAAUGUUGAUUUUAUAUUAGAAUUGCUUCCUUCAGUACCUUAUGAGAAAUCAAAGUCUUUGGGUUCUGGGGCGAGUAUUCGCGCAAGCGAGAAAGUUAAAAGAAUUGACGGAAGGGCACCACCAGGCGUGGAGCUUGCGGCUUAAUUUGACUCAACACGGGAAAACUCACUAGUUUAAGACAAGAGUAGGAUUGACAGAUUAAUAGCUCUUUCUUGAUUUCUUGGAUGGUGAUGCAUGGCCGUUUUUAGUUCGUGAAUAUGAUUUGUCUGGUUAAUUCCGAUAACGAACGAGAUCUUAACCUGCUAAUUAGCGGUAAGUACACUAUAUUUUUAUUUGAAAUUGAAUAUAGGUAAUUAUACAUGUUUAUUCAGUGUUCAAAUUAGGAUAUUUUUUUAUUAAAAUAUUCUUUUCCCUGUUCUACUAUAAUAAUUUGUUUUUUUUUACUCUAUUUCUCUCUUCUUUUAAGAAUGUACUUGUUUGAUUAAAUAAAGCUUCUUAGAGGAACAGUGUGUAUCUAACACAAGGAAGUUUAAGGCAACAACAGGUCUGUGAUGUCCUUAGAUAAACUAGGCUGCACGCGUGCUACAAUGAUAUAUAUAACAAGUUGUUAAAAAUGUACUUAUAAAUAAGUGUGUACAGUUUUUCCUGUACUGAAAAGUAUAGGUAAUCUUUAUCAGUAUAUAUCGUAAUUGGGAUAGAUUAUUGCAAUUAUUAAUCUUGAACGAGGAAUGCCUAGUAAGCAUGAUUCAUUAGAUUGUGCUGACUACGUCCCUGCCCUUUGUACACACCGCCCGUCGCUCCUACCGAUUGAAAGAUAUGAUAAAUUGUUUGGAUAUGAAUUAAAAUAAUGAAAUUUUAUAUUUCUGAUUUUUUCUAGAAGAACUGUAAAUCCUAUCUUUUAAAGGAAGGAGAAGUCGUAACAAGGUUUCCGUAGGUGAACCUGCGGAAG